rnacentral:rRNA from 1 species
GGAAGUAAAAGUCGUAACAAGGUCUCCGUAGGUGAACCUGCGGAGGGAUCAUUACACAAAUACAAUAUGAAGGCUUCGGCUGGAUAUUUAUUUCACCCUUGUCUUUUGCGCACUUGUUGUUUCCUGGGCGGGUUCGCCCGCCACCAGGACCACACCAUAAACCUUUUUUUAUGCAGUUGCAGUCAGCGUCAGUAUAACAAAUGUAAAUCAUUUACAACUUUCAACAACGGAUCUCUUGGUUCUGGCAUCGAUGAAGAACGCAGCGAAAUGCGAUACGUAGUGUGAAUUGCAGAAUUCAGUGAAUCAUCGAAUCUUUGAACGCACAUUGCGCCCUUUGGUAUUCCAAAGGGCAUGCCUGUUCGAGCGUCAUUUGUACCCUCAAGCUUUGCUUGGUGUUGGGCGUCUUUUUGUCUUUGGCUCGCCCAGAGACUCGCCUUAAAACGAUUGGCAGCCGGCCUCCUGGUUCGCAGCGCAGCACAUUUUUGCGCUUGCAAUCAGCAUAUAGAGGUUGGCAAUCCAUCAAGACUUUUUUUUUACCUUUGACCUCGGAUCAGGUAGGGAUACCCGCUGAACUUAAGCAUAUCAAUAAGCGGAGGA